GAUGAACGCUGGCGGCGUGCCUAAUACAUGCAAGUCGAGCGAAUGGAUUAAGAGCUUGCUCUUAUGAAGUUAGCGGCGGACGGGCGAGUAACACGUGGGUAACCUGCCCAUAAGACUGGGAUAACUCCGGGAAACCGGGGCUAAUACCGGAUAACAUUUUGAACCGCAUGGUUCGAAAUUGAAAGGCGGCUUCGGCUGUCACUUAUGGAUGGACCCGCGUCGGAUUAGCCAGUUGGUGGGGUAACGGCUCACCAAGGCAACGAUGCGUAGCCGACCUGAGAGGGUGAUCGGCCACACUGGGACUGAGACACGGCCCAGACUCCUACGGGAGGCAGCAGUAGUGAAUCUUCCGCAAUGGACGAAAGUCUGACGGAGCAACGCCGCGUGAGUGAUGAAGGCUUUCGGGUCGUAAAACUCUGUUGUUAGGGAAGAACAAGUGCUAGUUGAAUAAGCUGGCACCUUGACGGUACCUAACCAGAAAGCCACGGCUAACUACGUGCCAGCAGCCGCCGUAA
rnacentral:rRNA from 1 species